rnacentral:tRNA from 1 species
GCGUCCAUGGCUAAAUGGUUAAAACAACCAAUUCAUAAUUAGUAAUUUUUUGGUUCAAUUCUUGCUGGAUGUA